AACCAUAUCAUGAAUUUAAAAAAAUAAAUAAAUAAAUAAUAUUUUAAAAAUAAUUAUACAAUAAAAAUGAUAUUUUUUUUAGUUUUAAAAUAUUUUUGAAAAGUUUCAAAAUAAAAUAUGUAACGAAGCAACCCCAAAAUUAUCAGGCCGAAUCCAACCCGAACUAGGGAGCCUUCAACUGACAAUUCCAAGCCCAGCCUCUAAUUGAAAAUUUUUAAGUUCAAUGCAGAAAAUUCAAUGAAACCUGGAAAACCUCAAAACCCUGAAAUUGAAACAGAGCAGAAUUGUAUACCAAAAUCACAUAACCGAACCGCAAAGAUUAAAGAAGAAAGCUUUUCGGAAUAUGUUCUUAAGAAGCAGAUUUUUUUCUUUCCCAAUGGUAAUUGGAGCUGUAGUGAUUGGAGUUGUCUCUGGAAAAGCAAUAUUUGGUCCCCCACUUGAUGAGUACUGGAAAAAGAAGCUUCAGGAAGAGGCAGCUGCAAAAGACACGGAUACAAACUCUACUUAGUUGAUACAGUGCAGUGGCAGUACGAACCAGGAGACUUGCUGAAUAAAGAGGCGUAAUAUGUGUUCAUCCAUAUACUGCUCUUGAUGAAAUACAGAAUGUGGACAUUGCAAAUGCUAAUAAAUCUGGAUAAAAUGGUGCACCAGCUGCAAGCUUGUGGAGGUCAGUUGAUUACGUUAUUUGCUGGUCAAAGUGGAGAAGCACAAUCAGCCUCAUCUGUUGAUUGACUAUGUCAUCAAACCUUCCUUGUAUUACCCUUUUUCUUUUUACCUUAUCCACUAGUUAUAUGAGCAGAUGGUGCAGUUCGGUUUCAUGCUGAUCCUAACUAAUAUAAAGACAACAAUCUUUUUGUUAUUUUCUAAUUGAAGCUUCGUAUUAAUCCUUCUCA